rnacentral:lncRNA from 1 species
CUAAAGCUUUAAAGUGUUGGAACCUGCCAUUUAUUGAUAAAAUGUUAUGGGACUGUGAUUAAUGUUUUUUUCUGAUUCUAGAAGAUGGGAUUAAAAAACAAGGAGCACAGACUUAACCUAAAUAGUACCAAAAAGAACACACAGGGAAAACUAGUGUGAGACUUGAGGUUGUGAUGCUUGACAUAUGUUAAGUCAUAGGACUUCCUUGUAGCUACACUCUUUGUGAAAUACUCAAGACAAGUACCAAAGUUUGACUAUCAUCCUGGAUCCCUAUAUCCCUGAGAAUGACAAAAAUCAGACCAGGGAAUGACACUUCCCUAUCAAAAUAAAAUUCUAGUUCUUUUUCUUCUUAUGGUAUGGAGCCUUCCUAUAGUCAUGGCUGCAAAUGGGUAAGUGAAAUAUUACUGCAUUCUGUCCUACAGACUUGUGGUAUGGAAAUUCAUUGAACCCUAAUACCAGGGCCUAUUAUGAAAUUGUUCUUGCUUACUCAACAUUUUAUAUACAUAGAUUUUGGUAUUUUUAUUCUGAUUUUGAAUUUUUUCUUUCUCCCAAAAGUUUAACUUUCUUCCAUUUUUUCUUUAUAUUUUUUGUUUUUUUUUUUUACAUUUAUAGUUAUCUCUUCUCUAUUGUGAAUUUUCCCCACCAUGGUUUCAAUAUGUCAUGUAUCAGCAUAAGAAAUUAAAUGGGAAUUUUGGGGGAGUUUUGUAGAAGCUUCAGAUGACACAGAAAGUUUUUAAACUCAGAAAUGCAUACUCAACCCCCAAUUUAUAAAAAGGUAUUGUAAACACCCCACAAAAGGAAAAGAGAAAAUUCAGACUUCUCUGGUAUAAAGGAGGGAUGGAUUUUCCAGAUUGAGGGAAUGCCACACCCCUAGCCCCCCAAAUGUGGGAAUGAUAACUACUUUAUUUCACAAUGUAUAAAGCGGAUUACUGUUUCACAUAUGCUUAUGUUUUUCAAACUUAAAUAUUUGUUUUUUUAACAAUUAGUAAUUUUGGAUUAAAAAAAAUUCAGAGAUCUCAUCUUGUACGAGCAAUUUCAGUGCUUUUGCCAAAAUGUUUAGCAAAAAUCCUCAAACUCUCAGGCACACUUCAUCAACAAAUUUAAGAAACUCUAUUUGCCACCUAAUGACAUCUUUGGUGUGUUAAAACAAAGAUUGACAAGGAAGGAGUCAUCUUUUAAUCUCUGAGAAACCAAAACAAUAUGGUGCCUAGUGACAUUCAUUACCAACUUGAUUCUCCAUUAUUUAUAAAAAAAAUGACUAUGCCCCACAUUAUUACAUCCACAUAUUCUCCUGCACAGAUUCUAGGACGUGCGUGUACAACACCCUAGAUGAAUUUCCAUCAUCGUGCAACUGAGAAUCUUUAUCCUUCACAUUAACUCACUGAUGUUUCCCAAGAAUUUCUCGUGUUAGAUGCACAAGGGUUUUCAUCAGGAUAAUUUAUCUCAUAGGUAAGUAGAGUGUCCUCUACUACUGAGAAGUUAACCAUGCUGCACUG